AGCAGCAGCCGCGGUAAUACAGAGGGUGCGAGCGUUAAUCGGAUUUACUGGGCGUAAAGCGUGCGUAGGCGGCUAAUUGAGUCGGAUGUGAAAUCCCCGAGCUUAACUUGGGAAUUGCAUUCGAUACUGGUUAGCUAGAGUGUGGGAGAGGAUGGUAGAAUUCCAGGUGUAGCGGUGAAAUGCGUAGAGAUCUGGAGGAAUACCGAUGGCGAAGGCAGCCAUCUGGCCUAACACUGACGCUGAGGUACGAAAGCAUGGGUAGCAAACAGGAUUAGAGACCCGAGUAGUCCCUGUCUCUUAUAA
rnacentral:rRNA from 1 species